ensembl:snRNA U6 U6 spliceosomal RNA
GUGCUCGCUUCAGCAGCACUUAUACUAAAACUGGAAUGAUACAGAGAUUAGUACUGUCCCUGUACAAGAAUGACAUACAAAUCCUCGAACACUCCAUAUUUUUU